UACGGGGGGAGCAAGCGUUGUUCGGAUUUACUGGGCGUAAAGGGCGCGUAGGCGGCCAGUGCAAGUCAGUUGUGAAAUCUCCGAGCUUAACUCGGAAAGGUCAACUGAUACUGCUCGGCUAGAGUGCGGAAGGGGCAACUGGAAUUCUCGGUGUAGCGGUGAAAUGCGUAGAUAUCGAGAGGAACACCUGCGGCGAAGGCGGGUUGCUGGGCUGACACUGACGCUGAGGCGCGAAAGCUAGGGGAGCGAACGGG
rnacentral:rRNA from 1 species